rnacentral:misc_RNA from 1 species
GAUGAAGAACGCAGCGAAAUGCGAUAAGUAGUGUGAAUUGCAGAAUUCAGUGAAUCAUCGAAUCUUUGAACGCACAUUGCGCCCCUUGGUAUCCCGAGGGGCAUGCCUGUUCGAACGUCAUUUCACCACUCAAGCCUGGCUUGGUGUUGGGCGACGUCCUCUUUGGGGACGCGCCUCGAAACGCUCGGCGGCGUGGCACCGGCUUUAAGCGUAGCAGAAUCUUUCGCUUUGGAAGUCGGGGCCCCGUCUGCCGGAAGACCUGCUCGCAAGGUUGACCUCGGAUCAGGCAGGGAUACCCGCUGAACUUAAGCAUAUCAAUAAGCGGAGGA